rnacentral:misc_RNA from 1 species
AGUCGUAACAAGGUAUCCGUAGGUGAACCUGCGGAAGGAUCAUUAACACGUUAUCCACGUAUCACCAAAGAGAACCGUUUAAAUCUACCUCUGGUUGGAAUGAACAGCAACAAGAUAAAGUGAUUGGGAGGGUCUGCUUCACGGCGCCAGGCUUUAUUUGUUAUUCACGCGGCGCAAGCUGCGGGUACUGUUGUAUUCAAUCAGUUGGCCCCUCUCGGCGAACAGCUCUCCUUCCAUGAGAUGCGCGCUGGGAAACGUAUUCACAAUUCUAACCCCUUUUUGCUAGUUGACUUUUAUAUGUUGUUGACUUUGCUUCGGCAAGGCCUUCACACGUUUAAUUAUUUGAACGUUAAAAAUACAACUCUUAGCAAUGGAUAUCUAGGUUCUC